rnacentral:rRNA from 1 species
GAUGAACGCUGACAGAAUGCUUAACACAUGCAAGUCUACUUGAUUCUACUUCGGUAGUUGAUGGUGGCGGACGGGUGAGUAACGCGUAAAGAAUCUGCCCUUUAGUUUGGGAUAACCUUUGGAAACGAAGGCUAAUACCGGAUAUUAUGGAGACGUCGCAUGGCGACUCCAUGAAAGCUAUAUGCGCUAGAGGAGGACUUUGCGUCCCAUUAGUUAGUUGGUGAGGUAAUGGCUCACCAAGACCGCGAUGGGUAGCCGGCCUGAGAGGGUGAUCGGCCACAAGGGAACUGAGACACGGUCCUUACUCCUACGGGAGGCAGCAGUGGGGAAUAUUGGACAAUGGGCCACAAGCCUGAUCCAGCAAUUCCGUGUGCACGAUGAAGGUCUUCGGAUUGUAAAGUGCUUUCAGUAGGGAAGAAAAAAAUGACGGUACCUACAGAAGAAGCGACGGCUAAAUAUGUGCCAGCAGCCGCGGUAAUAC